rnacentral:rRNA from 1 species
AUUGCACCUACCGAUUGAAUGGUCUGGUGAAGCCUCGGGAUUGCGAUGAGUUUCCUUCAUUGGGAGUUCGUCGUGAGAGCCUGUCUAAACCUUAUCAUUUAGAGGAAGGUG